GACGAACGCUGGCGGCGGGCUUAACACAUGCAAGUCGAACGGAAAGGCCCUGCUUUUGUGGGGUGCUCGAGUGGCGAACGGGUGAGUAACACGUGAGUAACCUGCCCUUGACUUUGGUAUAACUUCAGGAAACUGGGGCUAAUACCGUAUAGGAGCUCCUGCUGCAUUGUGGGGGUUGGAUAUUUUCGGCGGUUGGGGCUGGACUCGCGGCUGAUCAGCUUGUUGGUGGGGUAGUGGCUUACCAAGGCUUUGACGGGUAGCCGGCCUGAGAGGGUGACCGGCCACAUUGGGACUGAGAUACGGCGCAGACUGCUACGGGAGGCAGCAGUGGGGAAUAUUGCACAAUGGGAGGAAGCCUGAUGCAGAAACGCCGCGUGCGGGAUGACGGCCUUCGGGUUGUAAACCGCAUUAGCCUGUGACGCAGCGUGAGUGACGGUAAUGGGUAAAGAAGCACCGGCUAACUACGUG
rnacentral:rRNA from 1 species